CAGUUUUACUACCUAUCUGAUGGCUCAGUUUUACAGCUCUAUUCCAAAAUAGCCAACAUGCAGUACGGUGGGUUGUUUUCCGAGCUUUAAAGUGGUUCCAAAGUGGAAGAUGAACCCCAAAAUAUUUGCUUAAUACCAAUUCAUGUCUUUUAUCUCAAUGUUUUCUUUAACUGAUUAAUUCUUUCAGUAACAUUAAUUCCAGUUUUCCUUGCUUCUCAUUACAGCUUUCCACUUGUGCGAGACUUCUGCAGUUUGGAAAUUUCCUUGUGCUACCAGUGCUACACACACUUCUAUUCUCUAUCAACACAUUAAAGGCACCUUACAUCAGAAUCCCAUCAUUGACAAACCGCAUCCCUGAUUUGCAUAUUCGAUUACAACAAAAAACCGUACACAUACACACACACACACUUACUGACAGAUAUACACAGCAUAAAUUACUAGCAUCCCUACAAAUACAACUGUUGUAUAUUACAAAUUUAGGGCAUAUUUUUCUGUCUGCUUUUUGGAUAACAUAACUUUCCUUCCAAGUCUUAGUCUUUCUGAAAGCUUCCCAGGAUGCCACGCAGAGGUAGGCGCUCGGAGGCGGCCAAGAGGAGAUGGAGGCGUCUGGACCAGGAGGAUCUGCAAUCCACCUCAUCGGAUUGCACCAAGCCCGGGACGCCACCCACCACCUCACGGGUUUGGUCCCCCACACAGUCUCCACUGCUGAAGAUGUCCAGGCUGCUCGAGCCGCUUUCUCCUGACGAGGCAAGU